rnacentral:rRNA from 1 species
GUGCAGCAGUCGAGAAACUUUACAAUGUGCGAAAGCACGAUAAGGGAACUCUGAGUGCCUCCUAAGGAGGCUGUUCAGGUGUCUAAAAAGCACCUGGAGUAAGGGCUGGGUAAGACCGGUGCCAGCCGCCGCGGUAACACCGGCAGCCCAGGUGGUAGCCACUUUUAUUGGGUCUAAAGCGUCCGUAGCCGGUUGAGUAAGUUCCUUGGGAAAUUUGGCUGCUCAACAGUCAAGCUUCCAGGGAAUACUGCUCGACUUGGGGACUGGGAGAGGUCAGAGGUACUCCAGGGGUAGGGGUGAAAUCCAUUAAUCCCUGGGGGACCACCGGUAGCGAAGGCGUCUGACCAGACCAGGUCCGACGGUGAGGGACGAAGGCUAGGGUCGCGAACCGGAUUAGAUACCCCCGUAGU